rnacentral:lncRNA from 1 species
UAAAAAGGGAAAUUAGAAGUAACCCGAGGCCGGAGGUUUCAAGACCUACGAGCCUGCAGCAGUUAUAACCGAUGUAGCCCUAGAGCCGCCAGCAAUCCUGGCAAUGGCAGGAGGGAAACUGAACUGCGCGUGCGUUUGUCAGGUCCGUGGUUCAGAUGGGUGCCAUAAAGGGAAAAAUCACUGACAGAACGGCCCUUAUGAUUGCUGUCACUAAGGAAUCAACAGGCUUGGUCACUCUUCUUCUUCACCAUAAUGCUGAUCACACUAUUCAAGAUGUGUAUGGAUGGACAGCUGAGCUGUAUGCUAAGCAAUAUGGUUAUCCUCUACUUACUUAUCAUCAACAAAUUGAAAAUCAGAAAGAGUGUAAUAAGCCCAGCACAUCUCAAAUCAGCUGUUCAGAACAAGCCUCUGGGGUUAAAUUUCCUUUGGGUGUACCAUUCCUGCACAAAAAAGGUAGAACUGAAAAACCCAAAUAAAUAGUUACUUAAAAAAAAUAAGAGCAAUCUUAAAAUUCAUACAUACUCUAUUUUUCUAUUUCCAUUUUCUAUUUUAAAACAAUAGGAACUGGUUUAUCUUUGGUUAAUGAAUUAAUUACCAAGUUGAGGUCUACUACCCUGGAAGUGCAAAAACAAUGUUUGUGUUACUUUUAUCUGCUUUAUCUCCCCCAAAAUGUUAGGCUAAACUAUCAAUUUUCUGAUUUAUAAAUUAUUGUACAAAUGUCUAACCAAAUUAUUCUACAUAUGUUAAACCAAAAUAACCAAAUGAUUUAACCCAAAGUGAAAAUUCUUUACCACUUAAAAUAUUAAGUGUAACAUUAGGUAAUAUGAUGGUUUUUAUGCUUCAAUGUGGGCUAAAUAAAUAAUGCCAUUACUUAUGAUUUAAUAUAAAUAGAAAGACUGAUUGAUAGAUAAAACAAUCAAACAGCAGAAGAGGAGAAUCUUCAUUCUUUUUUGGCAUUCUCUAAAUCACUUAUCCAAGCUUUGGAAACACAUUUUAAAUGUUUUCAAAAUUUUACAAUGUUCAUAAAGCUUUCUCUCAAUACAAACUAAUGAAAAUGAAAAAGUCAUAAUAAUUGGGACCAGGGUAAUUGAAAGGUAAUUCAUACGAUCGUACUUUUUCUGCGGAUAUUUGCAUACAUGCCCACCUCCAACUUGAUCCUAAGAAAACUUUGCACUCUUCUGAUUCAGAUAGUUAAACUUUAGAAGAGAGAGCAUUUUCUAGUUGAGCUUCUAACACUUUAACCUGCUAACUGGGCCAUUUGAUAACUUAAUAACCUAGGCUUGCAAUAAUAAAUUCAUCUCACCUGUAUAAGAUUAUUAUUUUUUUCAUAUCCAUUUUAUCCAUUACCACAUGAGAAAGAUAGUAUGGGUAUUUUGGUAAUUCCUACUUAAAUGGUGGUGAAAGCAGAAAACUUAAAUGACUUCCUUAAUAGGAUAGAGUGAUCAAGCACUUUUAAUACUUGGGCAUUACACUAUCAGAAGGAGAUGGGUUAUAUAAUUCCUUCCUUAUGGAAGAAAUGAGAAAUCACAAUGGCAAAAAAAGCAGUAUUUAAUUUUAAGUAUAGCUUACUACUGCCUAAAAAUAUUCUUUAAAUAUUUUUAAAUCUUAUUCCUAGUGAUAUGAAAAUUGAUCAUCACUUUUCCUUAUUUUAUUAAUUUGUAAAAUAGUAGAUUUCUAGCUACAUAUGUAAAAUUAUUGUGACAGGCAUUUAAAGGGAUAAAGUGAAGUUCUAUUCAUCAAAAUCUAGUAUUAUAUUUUAUCAUGUUAAUUAGAUAUAAACAUUUUAAACAGUUUUAAAAAUUCCUAAUCCAAUUUUAAUAAAAAUGACUAUAUUAAUAAUCUCAUUGACAAUGGGGUAUCAGUGAAGAAAUC